rnacentral:rRNA from 1 species
GCUACCAUGCAGUCGAGCGGUCCGGCACUCAACUCAGGGCUUAUUGGGGGAAGCCGAGGUUAUGGGGUAAUAGGGAGGCUGAACUCAGUAGGCGGUGAGUUGAGUGCCGGAUAGCGGCGGACGGGUGAGUAACGCGUGGGUAAUCUACCCAUAAGAGGGGGAUAACACUGGGAAACUGGUGCUAAUACCGCAUAAGCUAUACGGUACGCAUGUACUGUAUAGUAAAGGUGGCCUCUGCAAAGCAAGCUACCGCUUAUGGAUGAGCCCGCGUCUGAUUAGCUAGUUGGUGGGGUAACGGCCUACCAAGGCGACGAUCAGUAGCCGGCCUGAGAGGGUGACCGGCCACACUGGGACUGAGACACGGCCCAGACUCCUACGGGAGGCAGCAGUGGGGAAUAUUGCGCAAUGGGGGAAACCCUGACGCAGCGACGCCGCGUGAGCGACGAAGGCCUUCGGGUUGUAAAGCUCUUUUAUUAGGGAUGAAAUCCCUCAUGCGAAUAGUGUGAGGGGAUGACGGUACCUAAUGAAUAAGCCCCGGCUAACUACGUGCCAGCAGCCGCGGUAAGACGUAGGGGGCGAGCGUUGUCCGGAAUUACUGGGCGUAAAGAGCGUGUAGGCGGGCUGUUAAGUCAGGUAUGAAAGACCGCAGCUCAACUGCGGGGUGGCACUUGAUACUGGCAGUCUUGAGGGCAGGAGAGGGAAGUGGAAUUCCUGGUGUAGCGGUGAAAUGCGUAGAUAUCAGGAGGAACACCAGUGGCGAAGGCGGCUUCCUGGACUGACCCUGACGCUGAGACGCGAAAGCGUGGGGAGCAAACAGGAUUAGAUACCCUGGUAGUCCACGCUGUAAACGAUGGGCACUAGGUGUAGGAGGUAUCGACCCCUUCUGUGCCGCAGCUAACGCAAUAAGUGCCCCGCCUGGGGAGUACGGUCGCAAGGCUGAACUCAAAGGAAUUGACGGGGCCCGCACAAGCGGUGGAGCAUGUGGUUUAAUUCGAUGCAACGCGAAGAACCUUACCAGGCUUGACAUCCUGCGAACCUGGUGGAAACACUGGGUGCCUUAGGG